GUGUAAAAGAUCAAAAUUGUUCGGUCCUUACAUUGCCCCACAUUCACCGGGUGUGAAUCCGAUAGAAAAUAUGUGGAAUCAUGUCAAGGGGCAGCUGGCAAAGUACUCUAAUCUGCCUAAGAGGUUAAAUGAGUUGUGGGAACGGACUUAAGAAGUUUGGAACGCAAUACCUCCCAAUUUUGUAACGGAAUAUACAAAAAGUAUGCCCCUCCGAUUGAAGGCUUAAAAAAAACCUAUGGGUUUUUGGACCAAAUAUUAUUUUAUGAUAUUAUAAGUAUAUUAAUAUUACAUCGAGCGCAAAACUGUAAUUAAUAAAGCUAAGGUUAAAAUUAAUUAAAAACACCAAUGGAAUCAUAAAAAUUGUUGUCUAUUUUUGUUUCCGGCUUCAUUUAAUAACCCAGCGGGAUAAUGGUUCACUGCUUACAUUUUUCUUUGAAGAAUGCUUCGAAGAAAAUUUUAUGUACAAUUCUUCGAUACCAGGUAAUGCAUAAAAGUAAGCUAUGCGGAAUAAUGUUUCCCCGCUUACAUUUUUCUUUGAAGAAUACUUCGAAGAAAAUUCUAUCUAGAAUUCUUCGAUACCAGGUAAUGCAUAAAAGUAAGCUAUGCGGCUAAAUUCUACUGUGUUCAUAUUUACAAGUCAAGUAAGUACGUGAAAAACGACAAAUACAAAUUGAUGGAAUAAAAUUUAUAAGUAAAUUUUUUCAUUAUUUCGUCAAAUCAUCAAGCAAAAAGUUGGUUACUAUUUGAAUGUGUGAAAGUUGAAGGCUUCACCGAAUUGGAGUAUAUUCACCAAAUUCAAAAAGUUAUCAAACUCGCCAAACGCAGUUUCUUCAAGUCUCGUUGCUUGAAAAAAAACGGCAAGAGACUCAGCCACAAAAUUAGAAGAAAACCAUAAUGGCUAAAUGAGUAGCGACCAACAUCUCCGCUUUGGCAGCAUCCCGGUUCUUUCCGCUAGUUACCCGUCUGUAUAUAUGUAUAUUUAACGUUUUUAAAACUGUUUUCAACCUUUGAUCAUUUUAUAUAUACAUACAUACAUAUACAUAUAAUAUGUAUUUAACGUUUUUAAACUAUUUAAAUUUGUAAUAAUUCGGUUCAUUUAAACACAUUUUGUUAUAACAAUUUUUAAGUGCAUUUCGCAUAAAAUAAAACCUUUAUAACGAUUGUAUUGAAUCUAGUGCAUUUUUCUUUUUAACAAAAAGUGUGAGUGGCCUAUAAGGUGAGUUUUUGUACACAUAAUACUUAUUUUCAUACGAAUAUGCAAUUUUUCCUAUUGACCUUGGCAUCAAAGAAUUCUUCGUGAACUAUGGCAUCGAAGAAUUCUUCGUUAACUGUGGCAUCGAAGAAUUCAUCGUUAACUGUGGCAUCGAAGAAUUCUUCGUUUACUUUGGCAUCAAAGAAAUCUUCGUUAACUAUGGCAUCGAAGAAUUCAUCGUUAACUGUGGCAUCAAAGAAUUCCUCGUUUACUUUGGCAUCGAAGAAUUCUUCGUCCCAUGGUAAGCGUAAAAGGUGAUCUGUUACUUUUCGUAGGACAUCGCCAUGUUAAUUUUCAUCGGUCGGGGUAAGCGAUACAAUCAUGCUGUAUCGUUUACCUUGCUCGCUUACCAAUGUCUACCAUAUCCCGCUGGGAAU